UUUGACCUCAAAUCAGGUAGGACUACCCGCUGAACUUAAGCAUAUCAAAAGCCC
rnacentral:rRNA from 1 species